AGUUCAGGAGGUUUCCUGCGCUCUACAGAAGUCACAGUCCUAGAUCCCGUUCUCAUCACCAGCAUAACCAGUAACUCCAGCCAGCUGGGUCAGGACAUUGCUGUGAGCGUCCACUUCUCUGGAGAGGAGACGGCUGUGACCUGGGAGGUGGACGGGGGGCGUCUCCUCGACGGAUACCAUCUGAUAGACGACAACAGGACGCUGAUCAUCCCGAGAGCCCAGAAAGAAGAUGCCGGGCGGAGACUCGGGGUCCAGAUCACAAACCCUGUCAGUAAUGAAACCCGGGAGUACGAGCUGCAUAUUACAGUCUCCCGAUCCUCUGAUGAGAUUUUACUUGCUUCGGUGCUUCCUGUGUUCGGGGUUAAGCUCGUUUUGGUCCUGUCUCUGUUUCUCGUUUGUUGUUAUGUCAAGAAUUUGAGCUGAUGGCCAUAAAUGAUGUGACAAAUGGAGAAGGCACGGAGGAGAUCAUGUCUCCUGGACGUCCAGCUGCCGGGUCACCGCUUCAAAUAUGAUUGUGAAGUCAUUUCUAAGGCUUGAUCUGCUAAAAUAUGCCUUUAUUAAAAGCUUCCGCAACUUGCACCCACAAAAAAUGUGA